UUGGUGACAAAUCAAUGGAUCUCUGGUUGAGAAUUUAAGGCAACACGUAUUAGUUAAGAGCUUUCAUGAAGAAGGACUCUCUAACUUCACAUACGGAAAAGAGGUGAGGUGGCAUUUAUUUAUGGUGUGGCUUUUGGUGGGCAUAGAGGAGUCCUUCUCCAUUUGAAACUAUUUCAAGUUGGAUAAGGAUCUAAUUUAAAUUGACCCAAUUCCAUC
rnacentral:lncRNA from 1 species